CAGAUGAUUAAAAGAACUGGAUGAACUUAUAGUUCAUAAAAAUGUUACUCUUAGAUGCGGAGAGAUGAAAUCGAGGUUAAAGAACCUGUAGAGGGUGGUGUUGCUCUACACUGACUCCAAAGUGGAUUCCAAACAACAGGAAGAGACAGGAUGACACAUCAACCUUCUUAAAGUUAUGUUUUAUCUUUAUGUGACUUGUUUUCUGCACGUCUGUCUGUUAAUAACCUUGUGCAGGAAAGCCCGGAGUUUCAGAGACAUGACACCAUGUUUGUGUGCAUGCGUACAAGGAAAAGAUGGGAAGGGUAUCGGCUUUCUAAAGCUAAAGUUAGAUGCAGCUAUGAGAGCUACUACAAGGCUACUAGAGCAGAGAGUGACUUUUUUUUUUUAAUGCAAAAUUUGAAUUCUGCUGCUUUGUAGCCAGUGUUUUUUGCCACACAAGGCUCCAAACAAAUGAAGACCAUCUUUAACCGACAGUCUAAACCUGUGUUACAUGAGACCUCUUGGAUGAUGUAGCCAAAAGCUUGGCAGCAGAAUCUGGACAAAGCAUUGCCAAGGCAGAGGACAGGGUAUUGCAAACUUGGAGUAAAACUUGUCUAAAACAGGCCUCUAUUGUAAAUGAGACAUUGAGUCUCAAUGGAAUUGCCUGUAUGAGAAUAGGUUAAACAAUAAAAUAAAACGCAUAUAAAGUUAUCUCACCUUUAGAUAAAGAGUGUGAAUUUAGCAAUAUCCCUUUCCUGGCAGAAAUAGAAGGGAAUAAGCAAUUCACAAGAUUGUUGAAAUUCAAAGCCUGGGAAGCACAAUGCAUACAGCCGGAGGCACAUGACAGAUCACAAGACAGAGAUUCAGUUACGGAGGUGUGAUACGGUAAGCAAGAAAGUCCUGUCUGACAGAUACAAAAGCUGUUCUAGAGAUACUUCCCCGCCUGAACCUCACAGCCAACAUACAGGUAUGCAUAUUAGGUUGUAAGUACUUGGAGAAUGGCAUAAUUUUUCCAAUUUUGUAAUCACAGUGGAUUAAAUUUUCAGACAUGAGGAUUGCUUUUAAUACUCAGUCAAUGACUGCCUGAAGUCUAGAAUCUGUGCACUUCACCAAAUAUGUUCUGCUAGGUCUUUACUACAGCAACCAUCAGUUGCUGCUCGCUUGUGGAUCUCUACCGCCCACCUUUAAUUUUUGUCUUCAGUAACUGCAAAGCAUGCUCUGUUGGGCUGCAGUCAGGUGACUGUGUUGACCAUUGAAUAAUAUCCAAUUUCUUUCCCUCAAGAAACUCAUCGGUUGCUUUUGGUCUUUGCUUUGGUUCAUUAUUGAUUUGCCCAGUGAAGUGUUAGCUAAUCGCUUUUUGGAGCAUUUAGCUAAAUCUGAGCAGAGAGUAUAACCCUGUACACUUCCGAAUUUUAUCUUUCUACUUCUAUUAGCAGUCACAUAAUAGUAAAUACCAGAGAUCCUGUUCUACUUGCAGCCACACAUACCAAUGCCGUAACGCCUCCUCCAACAUGUUUGAUAAUGUGGUUAAUCUUAGUUUCUUCUGUCCAAAGAAGAGCCAGUACAACCUCUUUUAGAUUUGUUCUGACAAAGUCUAAUCUGGUCUUUCUGUACUUGAAUGUAAGCAGUGGUUUGGACCUUGUUGUAAACCAAAUAUUGUAUAAACUUUUAUUUCAAUUCAUAAAGGUGUCUCUUCAUUGUAGACUUUAACAAUAACAGUUCACUGAGACUGUCCUCAACUUGUUUUGACAUAUUGUAAAGUGGUUUUCUUAAAGAACAAAUUUGGCGAUCAUUCACUUUAGCUAUCUUCCUUUUUCUUCUAGGAGUUUUGGUCUAACUGAUCUUAAUUCUGUUUGAGAAUUAUUUGGCCAAUCCUAAGUCCUAAAGUUUUUGCUGUAUAUUCGUUUGGAUUUUUCAGUCUAAAUACCAAUUCCAUCACUUGCAUCAACAUCUCUUUGAGCCUCAUAUGAGAGUUCCAAGAAUUGAACAUGCUCCCAAAUGCAAGUUCAACACUCACUGGGAAUCACUGACUGCAAAGUUUGUUAUGGAAUAAUCAGGGAAUAGAGUCACUUUGCUAUGAAACUACUUGUGAUUGUAAGACAGAUGUGAGCUGAUGACCAGUCAUUUUCCCUUAGAUUUUACCCAUCCAGCAAAACUGCUUAAAAGACAAUUUUGCCAAAUGGCUAAAUGCAGUUGAGAUUUUGUUAAAAACAAAAGAUAAAAAUUUUCAGGUUGAUGAAAAAAAAAAA
ensembl:lncRNA